AUACGUAGGUGGCAAGCGUUGUCCGGAAUUAUUGGGCGUAAAGCGUGCGUAGGCGGUCUAUAAAGUCUGAUUUGAAAGCCCAUGGCUUAACCAUGGAGGGAGAUUGGAAACUGGUAGACUUGAGUACAGGAGAGGAAGGUGGAAUUCCACGUGUAGCGGUGAAAUGCGUAGAGAUGUGGAGGAACACCAGUGGCGAAGGCGGCCUUCUGGCCUGUGUCUGACGCUAAGGCACGAAAGCGUGGGUAGCAAACAGGAUUAGAUAACCUGGUAGUCCACGCCGUAAACGAUGAGUACUAAGUGUUGGGGGAAACCUCGGUGCUGAAGUUAACGCAUUAAGUACUCCGCCUGGGAAGUACGGUCGCAAGACUGAA
rnacentral:rRNA from 1 species